rnacentral:rRNA from 1 species
UACAGAGGGUGCGAGCGUUGUUCGGAAUUAUUGGGCGUAAAGGGCGCGUAGGCGGUGCGGUAAGUCACCUGUGAAAUCUCCUGGCUCAACUGGGAGCUUGCAGGCGAAACUGCCGUGCUGGAGUGUGGGAGAGGUGCGUGGAAUUCCCGGUGUAGCGGUGAAAUGCGUAGAUAUCGGGAGGAACAUCUGUGGCGAAGGCGGCCAUCUGGACCAGCACUGACACUGAGGCACGAAAGCGUGGGGAGCAAACAGG